CUAUUUGUACCCCUUUCACUUCCAAAUGAAAAUUCACUGAAGGUUAUUGCACAUGAGUUUAGGUUUUCAUGUUCUCCAAACAUUAUGACACACCCCUAAUCGAUCAUGGUGUAUCUGUGUGUAUGCCCAGCAUGGAAAUGAGGAGUGGAUGAGAGAGGAACCAAGAGCAAGAUGGUAUUUUUUCCUUUUGAAAGCAAGUGCUUCAAAGAUUACAUAAACCUGAAGUUGCCUGAGAAUGAAGCCAAGAUGGAGAGAAACAGAGGUGUGCAGGGAACUUGGAGAACUGACACCCCCAGAGAAAGACGGAUGUGGUUCGUCACAGAGGUGUGGUCCAUGGAUGCUCCACAGUGAGUCACCAGGAUGUCCAGCAUGAUCUCCAGUUCCUACCAGGUCACAAUGUGAUGGGAACCUCGCCCUGCCACGUGGACCCUGAGACUGGAGCCCCCACCGAGGAAACCCCAGGUGAGUGGACACUUGUGCUGCACAU
ensembl:lncRNA